rnacentral:rRNA from 1 species
UGCGAGUCGACACAGCAAUGUGUGGCAUACGGCUCAGUAACACGUAGUCAACAUGCCCAGGGGACGUGGAUAACCUCGGGAAACUGAGGAUAAACCGCGAUAGGUCACUACUUCUGGAAUGGGUAAUGACCCAAACCUAUAUGGCCCCUGGAUUGGACUGCGGCCGAUCAGGCUGUUGGUGAGGUAAUGGCCCACCAAACCUGUAACCGGUACGGGCUCUGAGAGGAGGAGCCCGGAGAUGGGCACUGAGACAAGGGCCCAGGCCCUAUGGGGCGCAGCAGGCGCGAAACCUCUGCAAUAGGCGAAAGCUUGACAGGGUUACUCUGAGUGAUUUCCGUUAAGGAGAUCUUUUGGCACCUCUAAAAAUGGUGCAGAAUAAGGGGUGGGCAAGUCUGGUGUCAGCCGCCGCGGUAAUACCAGCACCCCGAGUGGUCGGGACGUUUAUUGGGCCUAAAGCAUCCGUAGCCGGUUCUACAAGUCUUCCGUUAAAUCCACCUGCUCAACAGAUGGGCUGCGGAAGAUACUAUGGAGCUAGGAGGCGGGAGAGGCAAGCGGUACUCGAUGGGUAGGGGUAAAAUCCGUUGAUCCAUUGAAGACCACCAGUGGCGAAGGCGGCUUGCCAGAACGCGCUCGACGGUGAGGGAUGAAAGCUGGGGGAGCAAACCGGAUUAGAUACCCGGGUAGUCCCAGCUGUAAACGAUGCAGACUCGGUGAUGAGUUGGCUUUAUGCCAACUCAGUGCCGCAGGGAAGCCGUUAAGUUCGCCGCCUGGGGAGUACGGUCGCAAGACUGAAACUUAAAGGAAUUGGCGGGGGAGCACCACAAGGGGUGAAGCCUGCGGUUCAAUUGGAUUCAACGCCGGA